rnacentral:rRNA from 1 species
UUUACCUACGGGAGGCAGCAGUGAGGAAUAUUGGUCAAUGGGCGGGAGCCUGAACCAGCCAAGUCGCGUGAAGGAAGAAGGUACUUAGUAUUGUAAACUUCUUUUGUCGGGGAACAAAGGCGGAGACGCGUCUCCGGACGAGUGUACCCGAAGAAAAAGCAUCGGCUAACUCCGUGCCAGCAGCCGCGGUAAUACGGAGGAUCCGAGCGUUAUCCGGAUUUAUUGGGUUUAAAGGGUGCGUAGGCGGUUUGAUAAGUUAGAGGUGAAAUGUCGGGGCUCAACCCCGAAACUGACUCUAAUACUGU